UACGUAGGGUGCAAGCGUUAAUCGGAAUUACUGGGCGUAAAGCGUGCGCAGGCGGUUUCGUAAGUCUGUCGUGAAAUCCCCGGGCUUAACCUGGGAAUGGCAUUGGUGACCGCACGGCUAGAGUGUGUCAGAGGGGGGUAGAAUUCCACGUGUAGCAGUGAAAUGCGUAGAGAUGUGGAGGAAUACCGAUGGCGAAGGCAGCCCCCUGGGAUAACACUGACGCUCAUGCACGAAAGCGUGGGGAGCAAACAGG
rnacentral:rRNA from 1 species